AACGAACGCUGGCGGCAUGCCUAACACAUGCAAGUCGAACGAGACCUUCGGGUCUAGUGGCGCACGGGUGCGUAACGCGUGGGAACCUGCCUUUAGGUUCGGAAUAACUCCCCGAAAGGGGUGCUAAUACCGGAUAAUGUCUUCGGACCAAAGAUUUAUCGCCUUUAGAUGGGCCCGCGUAAGAUUAGGUAGUUGGUGGGGUAAAGGCCUACCAAGCCGACGAUCUUUAGCUGGUCUGACAGGAUGAUCAGCCACACUGGGACUGAGACACGGCCCAGACUCCUACGGGAGGCAGCAGUGGGGAAUAUUGGACAAUGGGCGAAAGCCUGAUCCAGCAAUGCCGCGUGAGUGAUGAAGGCCUUAGGGUUGUAAAGCUCUUUUACCAGGGAUGAUAAUGACAGUACCUGGAGAAUAAGCUCCGGCUAACUCCGUGCCAGCAGCCGCGGUAAUACGGAGGGAGCUAGCGUUGUUCGGAAUUACUGGGCGUAAAGCGCACGUAGGCGGCGGAUUCAAA
rnacentral:rRNA from 1 species